ensembl:lncRNA
UGCUGAAUUAUCGUCUCUGGAGAAAGGGCACGAAAGGGGAACGCUGCAGUGUCUCAAAUAGCAAUGAAAUUACCAUUGUUAUAUAUAAAGCCCUCAUCCCCCCCUGAAGCUCUGCAGCCAAUCACAUGCACAUGCAGCUGCUGCUGGUGCAUUUUUCCUAACCUUCUUCAAUACCCCACACUCCUGACCUUUGGUUGGUAAAUUGCUAUUCUGGAUGCCAUGCACCACUUGGUUGGGCCUCCUCAUCCAAGCAUUACCAUAUAUGAACGUGGAAGAACAGUCAUGUCAAGAGCAGCCAAGCCAACUGCUGCUCACUGUAGCAGUGUGACUUCUCAGCUUGUCAGUAUUUUUUUUUUGCCCGUCCCGUUUGGAUCUUUAGCCAUCAGAAUUGUUGUCUGAAGGCCAAGAAAGAUGCCAAGUGGAUUUACUUUACCAAGUGGAUCAUCAUGGCCUUGCCAUAUUGGUCCAUUUGAUUGACCUUUAUUAUAAUUAUGUAUUUAUUUUAUUUUUCAUUUUUUAAAGACGGGACAGACAUGACUGGGGGAUAGGACAGGGAGGAAGAAUGAAAGAGAGGGAGAGAAAGAAAAAUAGACGGGAGAGGAGAUGGUGAGAAAGGGGGGAAGAAAAAAAAAGAAAAACAAACAAAACACCUGGAUCACCUGUAUGGAGAAAAAAAACAGAAGAGAAAACAAACAACAAAGAGCAACAUGAUAAAAACGACACCAUCACAAUAAACUAGCUAACAAUAGAUAACAGUAGAUACUUUUUUAAUUUCCCCUGGUUGAGAAUGAAAAAUGAAAACCAGCAGAAGAAAACGAGAGUAAUAGAAUAAACAACAUCACGAUGAUAUAUGGGAAUAUAAUUGUAAAUACUAAAUAUUAAACAUUAUUGUGCAGCACGUAAGAUCGACAGCGCACAGUGUGCUUUGAGGUAGGAGCCAAAAAGGGUGUAGUUUGUGGGUGUGAUCACCCGUGUGUACACCUGUGAGCAUGGACGCGCUUGUUUUUAAAAGGUUCCUUCAUGUAAUGAUCUGCUAG